rnacentral:rRNA from 1 species
GCGUGAGUGAUGAAGGCCCUAGGGUUGUAAAGCUCUUUCGCAGGUGAAGAUAAUGACGGUAACCUGUAAAGAAGCCCCGGCUAACUUCGUGCCAGCAGCCGCGGUAAUACGAAGGGGGCUAGCGUUGUUCGGAAUAACUGGGCGUAAAGCGUACGUAGGCGGAUUGGAAAGUUAGGGGUGAAAUCCCGAGGCUCAACCUCGGAACUGCCCUUAAAACUAUCAGUCUAGAGGUCGAGAGAGGUGAGUGGAAUUCCGAGUGUAGAGGUGAAAUUCGU